rnacentral:rRNA from 1 species
GUGAGGAAUAUUGGUCAAUGGACGAGAGUCUGAACCAGCCAAGUCGCGUGAAGGAAGACGGUUCUAUGAAUUGUAAACUUCUUUUGUGCAGGAAUAAAGUGGGUUACGUGUAACCUUUUGUAUGUACUGUACGAAUAAGGAUCGGCUAACUCCGUGCCAGCAGCCGCGGUAAUACGGAGGAUCCGAGCGUUAUCCGGAUUUAUUGGGUUUAAAGGGUUCGUAGGUGGAUUGAUAAGUCAGCGGUGAAAGUUUGCAGCUUAACUGUAAAAUUGCCGUUGAAACUGUCGGUCUUGAGUGCAAAUGAGGUAGGCGGAAUGUGUGGUGUAGCGGUGAAAUGCUUAGAUAUCACACAGAACACCGAUUGCGUAGGCAGCUUACUGGAGCGCAACUGACGCUGAGGCACGAAAGCGUGGGGAUCGAACAGGAUUAGAAACCCUUGUAGUCC